rnacentral:lncRNA from 1 species
AUAGAAUAAAGCACACAACUUUAUUCACUGAGUGGUGAGUGUACAGCAGUGACGCAGAGGACAGGGCGGGGGAGCGGCGAGUGCUGCUUGCAACAGGAGCGUGGAGCAGGUCAGGACCAAAACGCACAGCAACGCGGGGCCAGCUGGCUGCCCCUGCCUCUGCACACUAGUCCGUGGUAUUCAGGGCAUGGACGGACACCCACUCACUUUCACGGGGGGACACAACACAUCUUUAACACAGCAGUUCUUCCAAAUAUUCACUUUCAUAUUUUUGAAAGGGGCGGGAAGGAAGAACUAACUGUAUGUCUUCUGACACUUGCAAAAAAAUUCCAUUAAAUUGAACUUAAAAUGAAAGGACUCCAAAGAGAUAUGAUGCAGGAUCGUCGGCAACUCACAGAAACCACACACAUUUAUUAUUGGACGGGUCUGUACACAGAACCCAAGAGGAACAUCAAUAUUGUGGACAAUUGUUUUUUUUUCUUCCAUGGGAUAAGGAAACAUAGGCAUCUUUGGUGAAUGGGUUCAGAAAGUGGCUCAUGGGAUCUUCACUCUUGAGAAAGACACUUUUGGGAAGAAUUUUAUUUAAUGAUAACAAUUGCCAGUCGAUUACACCAACCAUCAGAAAAUACUGGAUUUGUUUAAUUUUGCUGGGUUUACAAUAUAUUGUUUAGAAAGUUUCUUUCAACUUAACCUGACCACUUCCCCCUUCCUUUUGAGUUUGCCAUAAAUUAAAUUCACCCGAAUAAAAACACAAAAAUCCAUAUGCAAAGUGUAGCAAUCACUAUCUCUUCAUGGCUUCCUGGGCAGCAAAUGGAAAGAGUGAUUUUUAAAGCCGGAGUAAAAAUUUCUCUUUCUUUCAUUACAACAUCAUUGGCUAGUUUCCUUAAUGUACAUUAUCACUAUAAGGUGGUGUCACAGCAUAUCUCAAGCCUGAAGUAAUCUCUUUUUCUGAAUAGAACAUUCUUCAAAAGGGUACACUAAUGAAUGAGUUGUAGGGUUUACUCACAAACGGUUUGUCAAAAGAAAAUUUUAAAGAUCAAGUCAAGUCAAGGCUGGCCUAGGGAGGGUAGAUUAAACAGUGCCCGGUAAUACAGAAGAUGUGAUUUAUAAAAACUGAGCUUGCCUCAGAGGUCACAGAGGGGAGAUUACAUGGAGUUCAUGUUCUUCCACCAUCUUUCCUGACAGAGAGAGGGCCUGCCUGCCCCUUCAAUGCGCAGAAUGCUAACAUCAAGCUUUUUGAAAGAAUUUUUAGAAAGACCUACCUAGUCAAAAGUGGUUAAUUUCAUUUUUUUUAACUUGCAAAAGCAUAAAUAUUUUAUAUAAUCAUCUGAGAAGCAAUUCUUUAGAAAAAGGUGUUUGCUUUAAAGUGUAAAGAAAUUAGGUGAAAGUUUUAUAAACAUUUCCAACAAGACUUCUCUAGGUAGAGUUGAUGGACAUCACCAGAUUGAGAGGAUGAAAGUUGCAGUGGGAGUGUGCACCGUAUUACGCAUUGACCCUGGCUUUUCUGUUUGAGGUUUCAGAGAACAGGCAGUUUAUUCUUUAGUUAUUGAAGGAGUCACAUUAAGAACAUUUCAUAACUAACCCAAACUGAAAUGUAGAUGCAUAGCUGGCUGUAUGAGUUCCCAAAUGCUCUUUAUGUCUCAUCUUAAAUCACACGGGAAGAAUAAAUGGUAUCCUGGCUCUUACGGAAAAAAAAAUUUAAAGGAAGCGCACUGACUUUCACGUUGUCAGAGGCCUCUUUUGCUUCAUGCAGUGGUUGUGUGUGCUUAAGGAAACACAAAUAAGCCCAACGCUCAAAAAUGUAGCCCUUUGGGUAUAUACCAGGAAAAUGUGCCAUGUCUUGAAGUCCUUCCCCAGAGUGAAUAAGCCCUGUUCAUUUGCCUGUGUUAACAACUGGAAUUUCUAUGUGCAGUGCAGACUGGGGUUCAAGCAGAGAACACUGAUCUCCUGUACAGUGGCCUAGACAUUUUGAGGACAAGCAUGCUGAGCCCAGUUUAGAACAAAAAUGGAUAGGUCAUUGUAGCCCAUGUAUUAGAUUUGGCAGUUAGGAGAACCAGUUGCCUCAUGACCCAUCCCUCCAGCUGGAGCUUUCUGCUGGGACUGGAGUUGGGGAAGUCACUCCAGCAUUGUUUUCCCUUGACCCUCCCCAGAGCACAGCACUACUCUGCUUGCAGACAGGACGCUACUGACAUUUCCUGGAAAUGCAUUUUUGCACGGUAUAGUUUAAAUUAGCUAAUACACUUGAUAUAGGAAGAAGCUCCUCCAACCCCCCAAGUUGGAUGGAGAACUGAAUUCUAAGAUAUAAGAAACAUAGAGUUUCAUUGGUGGGAGCAGACUUUGGGUUCAGAUCUUUAACUGUCAUUGCAGUUGUUCUCACACUGACAUUUGCUCUGCAUGUGCAUAGGUCAUAAUUAUUUUUUCUUUUUUUUUUUCCAUAGGUCAUAAUUAACCAAUGAAAACACUGAGGAUCUUUUAUUAUCCCCAUAAUGAAAAAAUUCUCCCCACCAGCCUAGCACUAGGACCCAUCUGCCAUCCUCAUUAUUGAUUAUGGGAAUAUACUGUGGUCCCCACUCCUCAUACUUUGCCAGAGCAAAGCAAGGACUGGGAUACACAGGCACUGCACCGAGGCUGCUGAUGCCAGAGAUAUCAGAGAGAAGAUGGGACAGCCGAAAUAUUGAAUUAGAGCAAAAGGCCAUGGAAGGCACCAAAUAGCAAGUUGCAAUCUGGGGCCUUCAAACGGAGGAGGAGCUGGUCAUCUCACGUUUGCCCCAUCAGAAUCAUUUACAAAAUAUGUUAGUAGGUCCAACACACACACACACACACACACACACACACACACACACACAUGCAUGCUCCUAUUUGUGAGAACAGUCCUCAAACAUUCAGUGUCUAGCACUGAAAGGACAGAAGAGGCGCUUGAAAGCAAUUACAGAGCUCAGUACAGCACCCAGUUGAUGGAGCGUGUCCCAAGGUAGAGGUCUGCAGCACAGGUUCUGACACUAUUUUUACUUGUUUUUUACCACCAAGAUCAGCUACUAACUAAUCCGAAUCCGAAUCCGAAUCCGGUGGCAGCAGGAAGAAUUUCUGAGCUUUUAUUAGUAGUGGCAUAUGAAGAGAAUUUGAAUGAUUUCUCCUUUGGCUUUAAAAUGGAAUUUAAAUUCCUAGGCAGAGCCCCCAGAGCACAAGAAUAAACGUGAAAACUGUCCACGGGUGGAGCUGGAGACACCCUUCCUUGUCCGCCUAACUCACGUGAGUCGCAGCCAGAGGCUUCCAGGAAUCAUGAUGGGGUCUUACACUUGAGUUUUGGUGUAAUCCUAGGCUCCACUAUGAAUCUUGUGUUGCUGAAUCUGCACACUCUGGUGUGUUGCUCUGAUGUCCACAUAUAGCCUGAUGUGAGGUCCGGGCUCUUCACUGUGCUGCUGACCUGAGCUUCAUGAAUCAUGGAGCAUGCUGGCUUCUGACACUGACACCCUUCCAUGAAGGAUGCCCUGUGGGGUGCAGUUUGGCCUCAAUCCCGACCUCUGAGUCAUGCGCACGUGUGCAAAUGUUCCUUAGAAGCUGCAGCCCAGCCGGACAAACAUUCAAGCAGGGAUGAAAUGUUAAAAGAACAUGCAGACUCCCCAAACUACUCUGGGUGCAUUCACUUACACACACACACACACACGCACGCGCGCACACACGCACACAUACGCACCAUGAAGUCAACAAAGCUAGGCAAGAAGGAAAGCUGAAAAGGCCAAAUUAAAUCAAUCUAAGGCAACAGAUCUUGGGGUUGCAGAGAUUUCAAAAAGAAAAGCGUGCCUUUCCUUAGCCUACUACUGAAGAGACCUCAAAAAAAAUCCAAAAUCCAUGUGGGCUGGAUCAGAUUCAGAGGAUGCUGGGUGAGGAGCAGAGGAUGCAGGGAGGAAGAACUUGCAUUGGCGGGACACAGAAUUUUCUUUUCCU